CAGGUAACCAUUGUCUUGUACAGUAGAGCGGGACAUUAGAUUUACUCUCAGCGGAAUUGACCGGAGAAGGCAUCAGUUCAUGCACUGCACUGGCCUGCACCACGAUUAGUAUAAGACCAAAUCCCCUGUACACAUAUAGUGACUCAGAGGAUGAGCAGCCCACAAAAAAAAUGGUUUCCCCAGGCCCCUCGAGUGAAAAUACCAGACCUGACGAGAGCUGUUAACGAACUCCGUGAGGAGGUCAGAGCCAUCCGCAAUACCGGCUGCAAUGAAUCGGUAGAUGCUGGGGUACUGGCUCUGGAUUUGCCCUUGCACAACAUUGAGGAGCUAAACAAUGCAGAGCCAGCUCUUCAAUCACAAGAGGCAAAUAAGGCAAUGGUAAGUAUAUAAAGGUUAUGUACACUUUGUAACUAUAAAGUGUAAUAGCUGUCAGAUGUGAUUUAAAUACAUAACAACGGCCUGUUGAUUAAACACACAAGCACUUGCAUACACAUUUAAGACAUGAGACACGCUAAUUCCAUCUCUUAAAAUGUGUCUAUAGGUGAGACGCUUUGCCUUGAUUGGAGCCUGACGCAGCAGUUAGGGGCAAACUCUAUGUCCGAGUUAGUCUUUGCACAAGCAGUGCAGAAAUGGCUCCGAUACGCCCCAGAUCGUUUGGGUGGUGCAGGACGCACAUCAUGCAAAAAAUUACAAACUUCUGUGAAUCAUAUAAACGUAAAUCGGAAACUGUCUUUUAAUAAAGUAUUUAGCAAACGAAACAUGCCUAUUGACCUUUUUUUGUUUAUUUUUUUUCUCUGUUACAUCACAUGCAAUGCUUUCUUAUUUUAGGAUAUUAAUAUUGACAUGAUACAUUGUGAGACAUUUGGGUUUUUUUUUAUAAAGGGUGUCCAAUUUAAGGAAUAAGUACAAUUAUGUGUUUAGGUGGUUGAAGUAUUGAUGGAAACAUGCAGUAGUUUAGUAUUGGUUAAAAUACCUAUAAAGAAAGGUAGAUUUCCAGUCAUGAUUUAACUGUUUUAAUAAAAAGCAACUGUGCGAAAGAGGCGGAAAAUCAACACCAUAGCUCAACAGUGUUUCAAUAUCAGAAUCUGACAUUGUUUCAAUGUCAGCAGUAUUAGAAAAUAUAACGUUGAAUCAACGUCAGGUUUCAACAUUGAUUCAACAUCAAAACCUGACGUUUCAACAUUAAAAAAGGGUGCAAGAGUGACGUUAGGUCAACGUCACACUUCAACGUUGGUUCAAUGACACAGCCUGAUAUUGACUCAACAUUGUUUCAAUGUUUCCUUGCUAUCUGGGUAAAUACUUGUUUUAUCACUUAAAACAGAUAAUCAGUAUAAAAUAUUUGUGCAACAUAAUUUUUC
ensembl:lncRNA